rnacentral:rRNA from 1 species
GAGGGUGCAAGCGUUAAUCGGAAUACUGGGCGUAAAGCGUGCGUAGGCGGAAUUUAAGUCUGAUGUGAAAUCCCCGGGCUUAACCUGGGAAUUGCAUUGGAUACUGGGAUUCUAGAGUAUGGUAGAGGGUGGCGGAAUUUCUGGUGUAGCGGUGAAAUGCGUAGAUAUCAGAAAGAACACCAAUGGCGAAGGCAGCCACCUGGGCCAAUACUGACGCUGAGGUACGAAAGCGUGGGGAGCAAACAGGAUUAGAUAACCCUGGUAGUCCACGCCCUAAAACGAUGUCUAACUUGGUCGGUCCGGGGAGGGGCUUAAACCGUUUCCGGUGCACGGGAAGCCUAACCGCUAUCUAACGUAGGACCCGCCCUUGGGGGAGUUACGGGGGCCGCAAGGGUUGAAAACUCCAAAGGAAAUUGGACGCGGGUGCCCCGCAACAAGCCGGCUGGAGCUAUGUNGGUUUAAUUCCGAUGCAACGCGGAAGAACCUUACCUGGGCUUGACAUGUCUGGAAUCCUGCAGAGAUGCGGGAGUGCCCUUCGGGGAAUCAGAACACACGUGCUGCAUGGCUGUCGUCAACUCGUGUCGUGAGAUGUUGG